CCUACGGGGGGCAGCAGUAGGGAAUCUUCCGCAAUGGACGAAAGUCUGACGGAGCAACGCCGCGUGAGUGAAGAAGGCCUUCGGGUCGUAAAGCUCUGUUGUUAGGGAAGAACAAGUACCGGAGUAACUGCCGGUACCUUGACGGUACCUAACCAGAAAGCCACGGCUAACUACGUGCCAGCAGCCGCGGUAAUACGUAGGUGGCAAGCGUUGUCCGGAAUUAUUGGGCGUAAAGCGCGCGCAGGCGGUCUCUUAAGUCUGAUGUGAAAGCCCCCGGCUCAACCGGGGAGGGUCAUUGGAAACUGGGAGACUUGAGUGCAGAAGAGAAGAGCGGAAUUCCACGUGUAGCGGUGAAAUGCGUAGAGAUGUGGAGGAACACCAGUGGCGAAGGCGGCUCUUUGGUCUGUAACUGACGCUGAGGCGCGAAAGCGUGGGGAGCGAACAGGAUUAGAUACCCUUGUAGUC
rnacentral:rRNA from 1 species